UAAAAAAAGGUAAGCUACUAAGAGCGAAUGGUGGAUGCCUUGACUGGUAAAGGCGAUGAAGGACGUACUAGACUGCGAUAAGCUACGGGGAGCUGUCAAGAAGCUUUGAUCCGUAGAUUUCCGAAUGGGGCAACCCAAUGUAUAGAGAUAUACAUUACCUAUAUAGGAGCGAACGAGGGGAAUUGAAACAUCUUAGUACCCUCAGGAAAAGAAAUCAAUAGAGAUUGCGUCAGUAGCGGCGAGCGAAAGCGCAAGAGGGCAAACCCAGUGCUUGCACUGGGGGUUGUAGGACUGCAAUGUGCAAGAGGUAAGUUUAGCAGAACAUUCUGGAAAGUAUAACCAUAGAGGGUGAUAGUCCCGUAUGCGAAAAACAAACCUUAGCUAGCAGUAUCCUGAGUAGGGCGGGACACGAGGAAUCCUGUCUGAAUCCGGGUCGACCACGAUCCAACCCUAAAUACUAAUACCAGAUCGAUAGUGCACAAGUACCGUGAGGGAAAGGUGAAAAGAACUGAGGUGAUCAGAGUGAAAUAGAACCUGAAACCAUUUGCUUACAAUCAUUCAGAGCCCUAUGUAGCAAUACAGGGUGAUGGACUGCCUUUUGCAUAAUGAGCCUGCGAGUUGUGGUGUCUGGCAAGGUUAAGCAAACGCGAAGCCGUAGCGAAAGCGAGUCUGAAUAGGGCGCUUAGUCAGAUGCUGCAGACCCGAAACGAAGUGAUCUAUCCAUGAGCAAGUUGAAGCUAGUGUAAGAACUAGUGGAGGACUGAACCCAUAGGCGUUGAAAAGCCCCGGGAUGACUUGUGGAUAGGGGUGAAAGGCCAAUCAAACUUCGUGAUAGCUGGUUCUCUCCGAAAUAUAUUUAGGUAUAGCGUUGUGUCGUAAUAUAAGGGGGUAGAGCACUGAAUGGGCUAGGGCAUACACCAAUGUACCAAACCCUAUCAAACUCCGAAUACCUUAUAUGUAAUCACAGCAGUCAGGCGGCGAGUGAUAAAAUCCGUCGUCAAGAGGGAAACAACCCAGACUACCAGCUAAGGUCCCUAAAUCUUACUUAAGUGGAAAACGAUGUGAAGUUACUUAAACAACCAGGAGGUUGGCUUAGAAGCAGCCAUCCUUUAAAGAAAGCGUAAUAGCUCACUGGUCUAGUGAUUUUGCGCGGAAAAUAUAACGGGGCUAAAGUAAGUACCGAAGCUGUAGACUUGCACACAACUUAGAUUAUUUAAGUUUAGAAUAUGAGAAACUAAGUUAUAUGUUUAGUUAUAUUUUUACUGAUUUUUAUAGAGUAAAGAUAGAAAUAAAACUUAGUAAAAUCAGUAAAAAUAUUCUUAGGCUAAAGUUAAGUAGUUUAAGUUGUGUGCAAGUGGUAGGAGAGCGUUCUAUUUGCGUCGAAGGUAUACCGGUAAGGAGUGCUGGAGCGAAUAGAAGUGAGCAUGCAGGCAUGAGUAGCGAUAAUUAAUGUGAGAAUCAUUAACGCCGUAAACCCAAGGUUUCCUACGCGAUGCUCGUCAUCGUAGGGUUAGUCGGGUCCUAAGUCGAGUCCGAAAGGGGUAGACGAUGGCAAAUUGGUUAAUAUUCCAAUACCAACAUUAGUGUGCGAUGGAAGGACGCUUAGGGCUAAGGGGGCUAGCGGAUGGAAGUGCUAGUCUAAGGUCGUAGGAGGUUAUACAGGCAAAUCCGUAUAACAAUACUCCGAGAACUGAAAGGCUUUUUGAAGUCUUCGGAUGGAUAGAAGAACCCCUGAUGCCGUCGAGCCAAGAAAAGUUUCUAAGUUUAGCUAAUGUUGCCCGUACCGUAAACCGACACAGGUGGGUGGGAUGAGUAUUCUAAGGCGCGUGGAAGAACUCUCUUUAAGGAACUCUGCAAAAUAGCACCGUAUCUUCGGUAUAAGGUGUGGUUAGCUUCGUACUAGGAUUUACUCCGAAAGCGAAGAAACUUACAACAAAGAGUCCCUCCCGACUGUUUACCAAAAACACAGCACUCUGCUAACUCGUAAGAGGAUGUAUAGGGUGUGACGCCUGCCCGGUGCUCGAAGGUUAAUUGAUGGGGUUAGCAUUAGCGAAGCUCUUGAUCGAAGCCCGAGUAAACGGCGGCCGUAACUAUAACGGUCCUAAGGUAGCGAAAUUCCUUGUCGGUUAAAUACCGACCUGCAUGAAUGGCGUAACGAGAUGGGAGCUGUCUCAAAGAGGGAUCCAGUGAAAUUGUAGUGGAGGUGAAAAUUCCUCCUACCCGCGGCAAGACGGAAAGACCCCGUGGACCUUUACUACAGCUUGACACUGCUACUUGGAUAAGAAUGUGCAGGAUAGGUGGGAGGCUUUGAGUAUAUGACGCCAGUUGUAUAUGAGCCAUUGUUGAGAUACCACUCUUUCUUAUUUGGGUAGCUAACCAGCUUGAGUUAUCCUCAAGUGGGACAAUGUCUGGUGGGUAGUUUGACUGGGGCGGUCGCCUCCCAAAUAAUAACGGAGGCUUACAAAGGUUGGCUCAGAACGGUUGGAAAUCGUUCGUAGAGUAUAAAGGUAUAAGCCAGCUUAACUGCAAGACAUACAAGUCAAGCAGAGACGAAAGUCGGUCUUAGUGAUCCGGUGGUUCUGUGUGGAAGGGCCAUCGCUCAAAGGAUAAAAGGUACCCCGGGGAUAACAGGCUGAUCUCCCCCAAGAGCUCACAUCGACGGGGAGGUUUGGCACCUCGAUGUCGGCUCAUCGCAUCCUGGGGCUGGAGCAGGUCCCAAGGGUAUGGCUGUUCGCCAUUUAAAGCGGUACGCGAGCUGGGUUCAGAACGUCGUGAGACAGUUCGGUCCCUAUCUGCCGUGGGCGUAAGAAGAUUGAAGAGAUUUGACCCUAGUACGAGAGGACCGGGUUGAACAAACCACUGGUGUAGCUGUUGUUCUGCCAAGAGCAUCGCAGCGUAGCUAAGUUUGGAAAGGAUAAACGCUGAAAGCAUCUAAGCGUGAAGCCAACUCUAAGAUGAAUCUUCUCUAAGCUCUCUAGAAGACUACUAGUUUGAUAGGCUGGGUGUGUAAUGGAUGAAAGUCCUUUAGCUGACCAGUACUAAUAGAGCGUUUGGCUUAUCUUUAAUAAAGCAU
rnacentral:rRNA from 3 species